ensembl:lncRNA
UCUCAGCCCCCUCCUCGCGCCGGACAGCAACUCAUCUUUAUCCAGGUCCAUCCGUGGCCGUUAGCUGUUGGUUCGCUCCAGUGUCCUACUCUCAAAUCUGCAAAUAUGAUCAUUAGACUGGGACGCUUGACUCCUGGAUACUUCCGCCUCCUGCAGAGGCAGGUGUCCGGCGAGAUCCAGACGCAGCCUCAGGACCGAGCCUUGAACCAGAUCGCCAUGAUGCUGGCCAUCAUGGGCCUCAGUCUGUCCUACUACAGCGCCAAGCAGAUGACGGAGAAAGUCCAGCGCGUUCCUGGACACUGAAGAUUCCCUGAACUCCGGUCUGAAUGAAUCCCGGAGAUGAUGAAACCAAACAAAGCCAAAUGGGAGAUUAAGAUUGGAGAGAUUGGAGAGAUUGGAGAGAUUGGAGAGAAAGAGACUGAGAUACUGAGAUCAAAGACUUUGUCCGGCACUUUCCUUACACUAACUCACGAUCACCAACACCGUAAGCCUGAGUCACUGGAUUAACACUUCAUGUUCACCAUGAGCCACCAAGAGUUCAGGGCUGCUGUUGAGGAGAUCCUCUGAUUGCAGAUUGCAGAUCGCAGCUUUAGCGUAGCUGGGAAUUGGAGAACAAAUGAACGACUGUCCAAGAUGGCGUUUCAUAGAGAAAGGGGGCAGGUUUUAUAGUCAGAAGAAGAAGAAAGAAAGUCUAAUCUGUUGAGGCCUGGAUGUCGGUGGUUGCUGUGGUAUACAGCA